AUUUUCUUAGUACAAAUAGUACUGUUGGCUUCCAACCAUCUAAUCCCGAAUAAUCUCGAGAGAAAAUA
rnacentral:tRNA from 1 species